rnacentral:tRNA from 1 species
UAGGCCGUGUGGAUGAAUUGGAAGUGGCCGCCCCGGCCUUGAGCCGGGGCCAAAAAUCAAAUGGUCCCGGCUCAAGGCCGGGACGGCACAG